AAUUCAUCUAAAAAAAUACAUAUAACAAAAAUAAAUAAAUAAAAUGGUUGCAAGAAAACCCCAAUCGCUACAAAAAGUUUUCAAGUGCGAUUCGGCAUAAUAAGACAACUCCAUGCAGACUUCAAUCUGGCAAUCAACUCUAAAAGACAUCCAAAUUAAGUUGACGAUCAGGCAAUAAACAAACAAACAAAAUAUGAAACAUUGCAAAUUUUGUCAAUUACGAGUAAUUGUGGAACAUAACAAAAGCUUCGAAAGCAAAAACAAAAAAUACAACAAAUUCUAGUGAAAUUAAAAAGGCAAAUUUAGUGUCAAACUAGAGCUCACAUUUUAAUUAUAAUGAUUUCUGCCUGAUCUUGUCAAGAGUGUUCGAGUGAGUUCCUUUGUGCAGCAACCCAUCAAGGAAGCAAAACUACUCACCUCCACACAGACACACACACAUAUGCAGAUACAACUGUACUGGUAUGCGUGGGAACAUGUGAUUUUUCCAGCCUAUAUGGCUCAGAUAAAAAUAAGUGAAAAAUGAAAGCAACAUUGCGUUAUCCAGUACGACUUAAAAAAAGGAAGCAGUAAAAAAAGCCUGUGCAAAUAAAAGUAAGACUCUUCGAACCAGAACAAAUAUGCUACUCCUGAACAAGGAUGAAGUGCGAAACUGCGUCAGCAUGGAAAUUUAAUUAGCGACGGUCGAGAGAGUCAGCAACAACAAGCCACACACACAUUCACAACAUGAGCUUGCCCGAAAGUAAACACGAACGGGGGAAGAAAAUAAAUCAUAUGAGCGUUUCCGUCGUGUAUGCGUCCUCGACGCUGCUGUUGCUGUUUUUGCAUGACGACAACAAGAAAAGACCAAAAAAGGGAAACAAUGGAAGUGCACCACAAGCACAAACCAUCCUCGCUCCGAAGACAGCAGCUUCCAAGCGAGCGGCGCGGCCAAUGCAACGCACGUACAUGUGUAUCGCUGUGUGAGUGUGUGUGUGUGUGCGAGCGGGCAAACAAAUAUGUCGCAGACAUGCGUACUGGCCCCCAACUUGAACUUGAAAAUAUUUUUAUUGUUGCGCUCGUCGGCUGUUCCAUUAAGCUUGUAACGAGCUUCGACGGAAGCGACCGCUAUCGUGACUGCGACUGCGGCAGACACAGCGACAGCGGCAGAGACGUCACGCUCCGCAGCACCACUGACGACGCAUAAAUUAGCAACACGCCGGCAAACGGUAGGGAGAGGCAGAAACAAAGUCAGAGAGAGAGAGAGAGAGAGAGCGAAAGCUCUUCUGGAACUGGAGUGCAAUGGUGAGCGAUGCAAUUGCAGGCAUGGUCGCGUGCCUUCAUCAGACAACUAGAAUUCUCGGAUCUACCAUUUGAAGAUUACGCGAUGCAGUAGUCCUAAGAAAAUAUUAAAUUAGAAAUAAGAAAAUUAUGUUCAUAUAUGUAAAUGUAUUUUUUCUUAAAGAUAUUAGAUGCAAUAAACUAUUACUCUUAGUUGAAAGAA